GACGAACGCUGGCGGCGUGCUUAACACAUGCAAGUCGAACGGAAAGGCCCUGCUUGCGGGGUGCUCGAGUGGCGAACGGGUGAGUAUAACAUGUGUGUACUGUGCUCCACUUCGUGGUAAGACUGGGGGACUGGGUCUCUUACAGCAGAUGAGCGAUCUUGAGUGAGGGGGUUGGAUAGUUUUUUCGGUGUGGGGUGAGCUUGCGGCCUAUCAGGUUGUUUGUGGGGUAAUGGCCUACCAAGGCGGCGGAGGGUAGGCGGCCUGGGAGGGUGGACGGCCACAUUGGGACUGAGAUUCGGCCCAGACUCCCACGGGAGGCAGGAGGGGGGAAUAAUGGACAAUGGGCGCAAGCCUGAUGCAGCGACGCCGCGGGGGGGAUGACGGCCUUCGGGUUGUAAAAUCCUUUCGCUAGGGACGAAGCUUUUUGUGACGGUACCUAGAAAAGAAGCACCGGCUAACUACGUG
rnacentral:rRNA from 1 species